rnacentral:rRNA from 1 species
UUAGUGGCGAACGGGUGAGUAACGCGUGAGUAACCUGCCCUGGAGUGGGGGACAACAGUUGGAAACGACUGCUAAUACCGCAUAAGCCCACGGAUCCGCAUGGAUCUGCGGGAAAAGGAUUUAUUCGCUUCAGGAUGGACUCGCGUCCAAUUAGCUAGUUGGUGAGGUAACGGCCCACCAAGGCGACGAUUGGUAGCCGGACUGAGAGGUUGAACGGCCACAUUGGGACUGAGGCACGGCCCAGACUCCUACGGGAGGCAGCAUG